UACAGAGGUGGCAAGCGUUGUUCGGAUUUAUUGGGCGUAAAGGGUCCGUAGGCGGUUUGAAAAGUCAGAUGUGAAAUCCCACAGCUUAACUGUGGAACUGCAUUUGAAACUUUCAGACUAGAGUAUGAGAGGGGUUAAGGGAAUUCCCGGUGUAAGGGUGAAAUCUGCAGAGAUCGGGAGGAACACCAGUCGCGAAGGCGCUUAACUGGCUCAUUACUGACGCUCAGGGACGAAAGCUAGGGUAGCAAACGGG
rnacentral:rRNA from 1 species